UGAGUAAGAAGUUAAUUUAUGCAUUAUUUAGAACUUAUCACCUAACAGUUAUUGGUCCCAUUCCUUAGUUAAGUCAGACCCACCAUAUAACCGUAGAAAUAAAGUCGUCAUUGGAUCCUCACCUAACAGUUAUUGGUGCCCAACCCCACCUUUACCCCUACAACAUCUCAUGUCUAUAGAGAGGUCUAGCCCUCCGAUGCAACUUGCCCACUAUGUCCAGCCGAGACAAGUCAACACCAAAAAGACCUUAGCAGCUCUACUACGGUGGAAGACCUAUGGACAUAAUAUUGGUUAAUCAUGUCUUAGUGUUUGCAAUCUUGAGCUCUUCAUAAGAGGUAAUCGAAUAAUUGGCCAGGUAAGUAGGUGGGAGGCUCCCCUUACUCAGAGAGUAAGGUUCUAAUUAAGUAACCACCUUUCAUGCUUUCCUAGACACCAAUUAGAUCAAUUAAUCUAAUAUGACUCGCUCAUGUUGGUUCACUCUCGACUGAUUGAGGAGGUUUUAGUUUAGGUCUCAUUGGGAUUGCUCUACUAGUUUGCAUCAUAUGUAAAUCUAUCUACCCCGCUCACA
rnacentral:lncRNA from 1 species